ACAGUAGAUCAUAAGUUAGUGGCGUGCUCCAAAGUCAAAGCCCCUGACUAAUCGAGGAGCAAAAGGUCAGCUGAAUUAUUGUGUUGCCACCAGUGCUGUUCAGCAAGAAGACGCUACACUGACGGUGUCUUUCCACCCAGGAAUUUGCAUACCGACGAAUUGUUAGAAAUACUAGAGAGCUUUAGAUUCGAGUACGAGAACGAGUACGAGUACGAGUUGACUAGCGUGCUCACAUUGCGCAUGCGUAGCUCUGCGUGACACUGUCACGGAAGCGGGAAACUCGUCGUCCGCCGCUCGUCGACAACGAGAUUUUGACCAGAAGUCGUCCUCUAGAGAACGAGUUUCGAAAGCGAUAGCGAAACGAGAACUUUUUAUUUGGAAAGGAAACACGAAACUAUGCUUCUCAGAGAAGUACUGGUUGAAGAGCCUCACAAGUACUGACCAGAUUCAAAAGAGAGAGGUAUAUCUUGGACGAAAAUCGCCGAACACUAUAAUAAAACCUUGAACACUGAAACAUUUUAUUAGCUUCUCAUUAAUUAUUGUCAUAUUAAUACCAUUAUAUUUAUGAAAUGAAAACUAAGGAAGAGUUUGUAUGGUAAAAUAUCUGAAUACAUUAUUUUUACAUCUUUUUUAGUUGUAUCAUAUAAAUGUACUGUAUUAUUAUUACAAAGUCAGUUCAGCUGUUUUGAAAUUAAAAAUUAUACAUAUUUACAAUUUUGA